CCUACGGGAGGCAGCAGCUAAGAAUCUUCCGCAAUGGACGAAAGUCUGACGGAGCGACGCCGCGUGGGUGAAGAAGGCCGGAAGGUUGUAAAGCCCUUUUCUCGUUGAGGAAUAAGCACAGGAGGGAAUGCCUGUGCGAUGACGGUAGGCGAGGAAUAAGUCCCGGCCAAUUACGUGCCAGCAGCCGCGGUAACACGUAUGGGACGAGCGUUGUUCGGAAUCAUUGGGCGUAAAGGGCGCGUAGGCGGCGAGGUAAGCCUGGUGUGAAAGACCGCAGCUUAACUGCGGAACCGCGCUAGGAACUGCUUUGCUUGAGUUCAGGAGGGGGAGCUGGAAUUCCAGGUGUAGGGGUGAAAUCUGUAGAUAUCUGGAAGAACACCGGCGGCGAAGGCGAGCUCCUGGCCAUGAACUGACGCUGAGGCGCGAAAGCGUGGGGAGCGAACAGGAUUAGAUACCCUGGUAGUCCACGCUGUAAACGAUGUGCACUAGGUGUUGGGCCACGAAGGUUCAGUGCCGGAGUCAACGCGUUAAGUGCACCGCCUGGGGAGUAUGCUCGCAAGGGUGAAACUCAAAGGAAUUGACGGGGGCCCGCACAAGCGGUGGAGCAUGUGGUUUAAUUCGAUGAUACGCGAGGAACCUUACCAGGGUUUGACAUAUGCCGGAAUGUGCAGGAGACUGCGCAGCCCUUCGGGGCCGGUAUACAGGUGCUGCAUGGCCGUCGUCAGCUCGUGCCGUGAGGUGUUGGGUUAAGUCCCGCAACGAGCGCAACCCCUACCGUCUGUUGCCAGCAUUCAGUUGGGGACUCAGGCGGAACUGCCGGUGACAAACCGGAGGAAGGUGGGGACGACGUCAGGUCAUCAUGGCCCUUAUAUCCUGGGCUACACACGUGCUACAAUGGCCGGUACAGAGCGAAGCAACACCGCGAGGUAGAGCAAAUCGCAGAAAGCCGGUCUCAGUUCGGAUUGGAGUCUGAAACCCGACUCCAUGAAGUUGGAAUCGCUAGUAAUCGCGCAUCAGCAUGGCGCGGUGAUACGUUCCCGGGCCUUGUACACACCGCCCGUCACACCACCCGAGUUGGGGGUACCCGAAGUCGUUUGCCUAACCUGCAAAGGAGGGCGGCGCCGAAGUAUGCCUG
rnacentral:rRNA from 1 species